CCAGACUCCUACGGGAGGCAGCAGUGGGGGCUCUUGCACAAUGGGGGGCCCCCUGAUGCCGCGCCGCCGCGUGGGUGCCGGAGCGUUUCGGCGCGUAAAGCCCUCUCGGCAGGGCCGCCGGUGACGGUCCCUGCCCAAGAAGCCCCGGCUAACUACGUGCCCGCAGCCGCGGUCCUCCGUAGGGGGCCAGCGUUAUCCGGAUUUCCUGGGGGUCCAGGGAGCGGAGACGGCGACGCAAGUCUGGAGUGAAAGCCCGGGGCCCAACCCCGGGACUGCUCUGGAAACUGCGUCGCUGGAGGACGGGAGGGGCAGGCGGAAUUCCUGGGGGAGCGGUGAAAGGCGGAGAUAUCAGGAGGAACACCGGCGGCGAAGGCGGCCUGCGGGACCGUAACUGACGGGGAGGCGCGAAAGCGGGGGGAGCAAACAGGAUUAGAUACCCCUGUA
rnacentral:rRNA from 1 species